GGAGAGGUGGCUGAGCGGUUGAAAGCGCCUGACUCGAAAUCAGGUAUGUGGGGCGACCUGCAUCGGGGGUUCAAAUCCCCCCCUCUCCGCCA
rnacentral:tRNA from 1 species